CCUACGGGGGACAGCAGUGAGGAAUAUUGGUCAAUGGACGCAAGUCUGAACCAGCCAUGCCGCGUGCAGGAAGACGGCUCUAUGAGUUGUAAACUGCUUUUGUACGAGGGUAAACGCAGAUACGCGUAUCUGUCUGAAAGUAUCGUACGAAUAAGGAUCGGCUAACUCCGUGCCAGCAGCCGCGGUAAUACGGAGGAUUCAAGCGUUAUCCGGAUUUAUUGGGUUUAAAGGGUGCGUAGGCGGUCGGAUAAGUUAGAGGUGAAAUCCCGAGGCUCAACUUCGGAAUUGCCUCUGAUACUGUUCGGCGAGAGAGUAGUUGCGGUAGGCGGAAUGUAUGGUGUAGCGGUGAAAUGCUUAGAGAUCAUACAGAACACCGAUUGCGAAGGCAGCUUACCAAGCUACUUCUGACGUUGAGGCACGAAAGCGUGGGGAGCAAACAGGAUUAGAUACCCGGGUAGUC
rnacentral:rRNA from 1 species